CUGUUCGCCGAUUAAAAUGGCACGCGAGCAGGGUUCAAAACGUCGUGAGACAGUUUGGUCCCUAUCUGGUGCGGGCGUUGGAAGAUUGCGGGGGCCUGGUCUUAGUACGAGAGGACCGGACUGGACGUACCUCCGGUGUGCCGGUUGUGGCGACAGCUGCACCGCCGGGUGGCCGAGUACGGAUUGGAUAAGCGCUGAAAGCAUCUAAGCGCGAAGCCUGCCCCAAGAUGAGUCUUCCUCACAGGGACGCCGCAGAAUACGGCGUCGAUAGGCCGCAGGUGCAAGGACGGAGACGUCUUCAGCCGAGCGGUACUAAUUGCCCGAAAGCUUUCUUUG
rnacentral:rRNA from 1 species